GCCGCCGGUGUGAGGGGGGCGCGGGCAGCGCCAUGGCCGGGAGGAGCCUUCGCCUCCGGGGUGGCGGUGAUCCCCAGGCAACAGCUUGUGAGGGAGCGGGGGUGGGCCCAGGCACGCAACAGUGCUGCUGCUGGGACAUCCCCAUGUGGCCGUGUUGGCACGAGACUGGCGGGUUCAUCAGGAACACGGACUGUGACAGGCAGCAAACAACGGAGGGGUGAUGAGUUCCUGAUCUGGAUAUCCCAGCUGAAUCCUCACUACAUUGUCUGUCACCAGGGAAGAGCGAAGCUCUUGGAUAGUCAGCUCCAAUUGUGCCUGAAAAUCACUAGCAAUCAUGCUUUUUAUGUUUGGCCUCCAAAAUUUGGGACAUCUCUGUGACUUUGGACUUAAGUAAGAUUUGGUGCAUGACUUAGGGAAUAAGGACCAUUGGUCAUUCCUGGUUUCUAUGUAAGAUUUGGUGAGUUCUGUGGA